CUUAUGAGACUCUUCAGAUAUUUUCCAUGCCUUCUCUGAUUGCCAUCUUCCCUUCCCAUUUGAUUUUCUUCAGCGGGAAGAGAGGCAGAGCACUUGUCCUCCCCUUGGGGAGAAUCCUCACCAGAAGAGCUCCGCUUUGGGAGUCUGACCUACAGUGAUCCCCGUGAGCGAGAACGCGACCAGCAUGAUAAAAAUAAAAGGCUCCUGGACCCCGCCAAUACCCAGCAAUUUGAUGACUUUAAGAAAUGCUAUGGGGAAAUCCUCUACCGUUGGGGUCUGAGAGAGAAGCGAGCUGAAGUGUUGAAGUUUGUCUCCUGUCCUCCUGACCCUCACAAAGGGAUCGAGUUCGGCGUGUACUGCAGCCACUGCCGGAGUGAGGUCCGUGGCACGCAG
rnacentral:ncRNA from 2 species